rnacentral:rRNA from 1 species
CUAUGGCUAUACCAUCCUGAACGCGCACAAUCGCAUCUGAUCUUGGAAGCUAAGCAGGGUCGGGCCCGGUUAGUACUUGGAUGGGAGAAACCAGAGCUGGGAGAUUAGGGAGCUCCAAGGU